AGCCCCACCAAACACGGUGGCGCAGUUGGUAGCACUGUUUCCUUGCAGCAAGGAGGUUCUGGGUUCAAUUCCCGGACUGGGGUCU